GAGGCGGGUUCAAUCCCUGGGUCAGGAAGAUUCCCUGGAGGAGGGCAUGGCAACCUAGUUCAGUAUUCUUGCCUUGAAAAUUCUGUUGACAGAGGAGCCUGGUAGGCUACAGUCCAUGGGGUUGCAGAGUCAGACACAACUGAGCACCUAAGCACACACACAAGUAUUUAUUUGUAAGAAAAACAGAGCAAUGUGGUGGGAAAAAACAUGCACCCUAGAACCUGAAGCUCGGGGACUCAGGCUUUUGCACUUGUAAGUUGGGUUGACCUUGGAUGUGGGCAUAAGUCACCAGACACCCUGUUCUUAUUUCCUCGUCUGUAUAACGAGGAUGAACGAUUGCCCUACCUUCUUCUCAAGGCUGCUCUAAAGAUCAAUAGAGCAACAGUAAUGAAAUAGAAAAUGCUCUACAAACUGUGUAUAAAUGUUUUCUAUGUGUGUGUUAAUGCCUGAGAAAAGAAUAUUUUAGGGUCACUGAAUCCAUUCCUUAGCUCUACUCUUGAGCAUAACUUUCAAUUUCUCUUGGCCUCAGUUUCCCCAUCUUUAAAAUGUGGCCAAGGGGUUCACUGAACCCUAAGUGUCUUUCUAGCUGUAACACUCAGCAGCCUAGUGACUCUCUUCUAACUCCUACCGUGCUCUCCACCCAGCCCUCGGUGGCCAGGAAAACCUAGAGAUGGGGUUCCUUCACACAGAGCCUUCUAUCCUCAACCAAGAGGAGGCUGGAGAUUAACUAGCAAAGGUGACCCAAGGAUAUUCAACCGCAAAAAAUGGCAGGAUUGAGUGCUGAGAGGAAUAACAAGUUUCAUCCCUCCACAAUGUUUUAUGAGUGAACGUUAUGUGCCGCUUAGUAUACUAGAAAUGAAACCACGUUUUAGAAAGAGUCCAGAGAGGAAGAUAAGCUUUAAACAAAUGCUUUCCAGGUAAUUAUUUAAUUGGAGUUGUGACAUAUGCUGGGAAGUAGAGCAUGCCUGUUUAUCAGGAGAUUAUAAUAAUGGUGGAGGUGGCGGGGGACAUCUCAGGAGGAUUUCCCGAGGAAGCAGCAUUUCCAACUGGUUCUCAAAGGAGCAUCUGGAAUUGGCAAGGCAGGGAAGUGGUGGAGAACGGGUAGAGAAUGUGCUAAGCAGAAGGAACAACCGGUACAGAGGGCUUUUAAAGAGGAGAGUUCUUGAGGUAUUUGAGUGGCUGAAAAUAAGCUGAUUUGGCUGGAAUGCUGAUGCGGUGGUGGGAGUGGGGGAGACCCGUGGUAGGACCUGAGCUUUGCGAUACAGACAAGGACAGACCAUCAAGAUGAGGAACUGGGGCUUCAGCCUCAGAGAACGGCUUAGAUCAAACCACUGGAAGGUUUGAAGCUGGAGGCUGUGUUCCAGGAGAUUGACCCACAAGAUGAUUGUGGAAGCAGCCUGUCUAUUAGAGGAACAUAAGAGUGGGUGCAGUGAAGAGGCUAGUGCAAUGAUCUAAGCCAGAGUGGACAGUGGCUGGGCCUGGGAUGGUGACAGAGAACCAUGGAAAGAGUUGAGAGAUAUUAAUACUUCAGAGGGGGAACAUUCAGGACGUAGUCAUUGAUUGGGUAUGAUGGGGGAAAGGCAAGUAAUAUAUACACCAUAUGUUAUAGCCCAUAGAAGUUACUAGUACCGUGAACCCUAAUUAGCAGAUGAACAAAGGAAGUCUCUAAGAGGCUUGUCCAGAUUAAAGAGCUAGAAAGUGGGGUCCCAGAACUUCAACUCUUAAGUCAUAAUUAUUUCAGAUAUGUAAAGGCUCUUCAUCCCAAGAGCUAUCAUUACUUCAUGAAAAACUCAGUGAAGGUCUGAUUUCAUGUGUGCUGAAUUCCAACCACACUCUGGUGAAGGCCAUAUGAUGAGAAGGGACCCGAGUGAGUGAGUGACAUCAUGACCCAAAUAGAGUCGCUAUUCAAACGCGCACCGUGGCCUCCUUACACCAUCACCUAAUUAUAGCUCCCGAGGAAGCGUUGGACAAUAAUACACUGUGCAGAAGCCAAUGGAUGGUUGUCAGUGGGCCAGACGGUCCUUUUCAUCUGAGCUGAUAUUCGGAAGAUAACAUGUAACCAGCUCAAUGAGGUUUUUGUGGUGGGGCUUCUGGAUGAUCGGGUCAUAAAUCUUUCAGGUCCAAGAGAAAGGCCUGUCCAGCUUGUGAGUUGAACAGGUUCUUCCCAACUCCGGAACUAGCACAACUGAAGGAAUGCCGCUUAGAGCCGUCUCUCCUCGCGUCCCAGAGAAAGGAAACAAUAGAGGUCACACAGUUCUCAUAAAUACACGUGCAUCUGACACGGAGCAAGUCACUCACUACCACAGCCGCUCUAAUGCACUGGCCCAGCAUGGGUUGGCCAAGACAAACAUUGAUUUCUUUCCAAAUGUUCUGGUUUUAAUGACUGUGGUUAGGUAACUUCCCCCUAAGUCCCAUAACUAUAAGCGGCAGAGUCUGGAAAGAGUCUCUCCAAGCACAGGGCCAUCCUGCCUUGGGACCAGUCUGAGCCCCGGAGCCUCACAUGCACAGUGAGGAUGGUCCCCACCUUCCAGAGCCCCUGUGAGGGUUAAUACCAGCAAGGUGUACCCCCUAGGCUCACUGUGAGGAUUCAACAAAUGAGUUCAGCUAAUUCCAAUAGGGUGGGAAUGGAAUACACAAGAAAUUCAAACUGGAAGCAAAGUGAAUGUAGAUUAUACAAAUAGGACACUGAUUUGGCCAGAAUGUCUGAGAUGAACAUUGGAGGGUUGUGGAUAAAUCUGAGUGACUAUUCAACAUUGCGUGACAACCAAUUUCCCAGCUCAUAGACCAUGCCAUGACUAAAAUCUUACUGAUCCCACCUGCGCCACUCUGCUUCUCCUGGUGUGACUCACACUCCUGAUUCCCCAGGCACUCAAGGCCUUCACUGCCCUUUGAUUCUGUGAAAGCAGUAUCACUGUGUCACAUGUACACAAUAAUAUACAGCGCCAGAUGCUGGCUCUACAAACAAGGGAAGCUCUGGUCAUUGGCAUCGCAGGAUCCGCAUCCCACGGGGGAGAGAAGUCUGUAAGCCCUGGUUAGGACACGAUGGAGCAGGAGGUAUAAAAGCAGGAGACUCCAGCUGUAGAGGGAGAAGACACAGAAGCUACUGCCUCUGCUUCAGAGGAAGGGAAUUCAAGAACUGUCUGCCUUCCUCUCCAUUCCACCACCUCACGAAAGCCUGGAAAGGAUGACCAAGAAGUUAGCCCGUUAGCCAGCGCCCUGAGAAGUGGGUUUAUCUGGGUGGUCGUGAGGAGGAAGAGCUGUGGAAAUGGGCACCAGGCAAACCCCACCACAAUUUAGUCCCGUGAACUCCAUUUGGGGGAGACGGGGAGAUGCAGGGGAGAGGCGAAGCUGCCCUCCGCAGGCUGACACAGGCAGCCAGGGCCUGGCCUCUUCUGCUCACCUCACCCCUCUCCCAGUGUAUCAGUUUCUUACACCCUAUCCUUAGUUCCUACCACCCAGAAAGUUUUCCCCAAAUGAGCGGACCAGCCAUCAGCUCCCCUCCCUUGUGUAACCAAAUCUCUUACCCCAAAGAUAUGCUCAGACUCCCUGGCCUCCACUCAGCCCUCCGGCUUCCAGGGCGGCCAGAGCAGCCAGCCAGCCGGCCCAGUGCCCCACCGGUUUCUAAUUAAAUCAGAACACGUGCUUCUCUAGACACAGAACAAUCUCUU
ensembl:lncRNA